GUUGAUAUUCUGGAAGCAAGAUCCUGGAAGGCCAAGGACAGGUCAUUUCUUAGGACUGUGCAAAAGAAAAUCAGUCUUUACAGUAAGCUAUUUGAUUCCAGUAGUUCUUUCAUCUCAGUCUUUUGAAAGCAACUUCCCCUCUUUAACCAACACCUGCCAUGGCCUCUUCAUGGGCUGAAGAAGGAAAGACAGGACAGAUUCUUAAGACCUGAAAGGGCACCUCAACUCUUACCUUGGAAAUUUCUACAUGAAGAAUCUGCUCUGAAACUAUAGCAAACGUUCACAGUGUUUGAGUGUGAAUCUGGACUGAUUGGGGAAGACCAAGAAGCAAUGAUGAUGUCUGUUUUUGUCCAAUGUCUGAAAACUGUUUUUAUUUUUUUAAAACUUUAUUCAGAAGUCUCAAUAUUGUAGUGUGUAGAGAUGUAUACUAAUUUAGUGAUAUGAAGAUGAAGGGCUUUAAGCCUGUUUUCAUUGAAGAGCUCUCAGUACCUGGCAACACCGAGGAAAAAACUGUGGUUCAUGAAAAAUUAAAUUUAAUAAAACAGCAAA